rnacentral:rRNA from 1 species
CCGCCCGUCACAUCACGAAAGUGAAUUGUACUAGAAGUCUGCAGGCUAACCCGCAAGGGGGCAGCGGCCCAAGGUAUGAUCCAUGAUUGGGGUG